UCGCGCCGCUGAUUACGUAAUGCCGCCGCGGCGGAGGCGGUCCUGCUGGCUGCUGUGUACGCGGCGAGCGACACCUGGUGCGGCCAGCUCGGCUCCUGCGACGCCCGCGUCCGCGGCCUCGACACUAGCUGCGGCCCGGCCGCCGCUUGAACAUGGACUCCGCCGGCCAAGAUAUCAACCUGAAUUCUCCUAACAAAGGCCUGCUCUCCGACUCCAUGACGGAUGUCCCUGUCGACACAGCCCAGACGCCUGUCGAGGGUCUGACGGAGGCCGAGGCUGAGGAGCUGAGGGCCGAGCUGGCAAAGGUCGAGGAGGAAAUUGUCACUCUGCGCCAGGUGCUGGCCGCCAAGGAGCGCCACUGCGGAGAGCUGAGGCGGAAGCUGGGCCUCUCAGCCUUGGAGGGCCUGCGGCAGAACCUGUCACGGAGCUGGCAGGACGUGCAAGGCUCCAGCGCCUACAAGAAGACUCAGGAAACUCUCUCUCAGGCGGGACAGAAGACCUCAGCUGCCCUGUCCACCAUGGGCUCAGCCAUCAGCAGGAAGCUCGGAGACAUGAGGAGCGUUCGUGGGUGCCCUUGGGUCACUGGUACUUGGGCUCAGUGGAGGCCCGUCCAAGAGAAGAUGAUUCCGGCGAGGGGCUGGCGGCACCCAGGACCGGCCGCCUCCAAGAGUGUGCCCUUCCACACCGGGGCGCCGCCGAGUGAUCUGUCCCAGAGGCUGACGAGAUGCUCCUGCCCCCCAGGUGCCUCUGGAGCAGGUGGGGGGUGCAUGGGGCUCGGGCCCUUGGUGGGCCGCACACUGCGGUGCCAGCCCGAGCCCAGUGGCCACGCCUGUCCCCAGGCCAGGGCUCACCCUCUGUGUCCUGCUCAGGUCUCCGCGGCUACACCCUCGGGGCCUCCCCAUAGCCAGAGGCAGUGCCGAUUGUGGCUCAGCUCCCUCCCCUCAGGGGGCCUCCUUGGGGUGUCAGUGGUGAGUGGCAGCACGUCGCAGGUCGCAGCUGCUGUCUGCUCCCUGACCCUCCCCUCAGCCCAGGCUCCUUGCCUGCCUGCCUUCCGAGGUGAGGCAUGCUCCCUCCUCCCAGGCCUGCGGGGGCCUUGCGGGCCUCAGGGUGGGAGCUCUGCCCUGGUCCUCAGCAAGCGGGGGACCGCUGGUGCCCAGGCCCUGCCCACCUCUCAGCUCUGUCUGCCAUCGUCACCCCUCCCCCCGCCACCCUGCUUUUGAUUCUGGAAGCUGCAGACCGACAGAGAAGCUGAGCAGCCAAGAAGGCCUGGGCCCGCUCCUGCGCGAGCCGCCGAGCCUGCCGUCCCUGCGGGCAGCUCUGCACAGGCUGCAGGGAGGCUCCAUAGUGACUGCUGUCCUGGGCCUCACGCCCGUCUGCCCACCCCAAGCUCGGGGUGCCAGUGGCCGAGUCUCACCUGUCUGGGCCAGGCACCCUUUCCUCCCCCCGUGCUGGUCUGAUGAAGGCGGGCGGCCGAGGGGCAGCAGAGGCCUGCUGGGUGAAGCCUUUUCCUCCUCUAGUAGGGUUCGCUUCCAGGUCCCUCACUCGUCCGAAGUGUUCUCACUCGCUUCAGAGUGGGUGGGGGCCCCUGGGUGACCCCGUGCCAGGGCAGAGCCUCUGCUAUGAGCCGGUCCCACCGUCUGGGCAGGCAGGUCCUCACAGGCCGCACUUCUCUCCCUGCACCUUUGCUCCCUCCCUCUGCUCGGCCCCAGGGCUGUCUCCAGCCAGCGGGGGCUCCCAGCCGACCCUUGCCUCUGCUGCUCAGCUGUGUGCUCAGUGCUGCGACUCAGGUCGCCAUGUCCCUACUCUCACCGUGGGGUCUCUGGUGGUUGCUGAGGCCGAGGCCCACUAACCUCUGGUUUGGAGCUGGAGGCCAGCCGUUCACCACUUGAGAAGGAAGGGCAGAGCCAGGGAGGGUUACAGCAUGAGUGCAGGCCUGGGCGCUGCCUGGUGCGCCGCUGCACGCAGGUGUUUGGGACCAGGUCCCGCGGUCAGCUGCCCCACCCCCGUGCCCUCUGCAGGCCUGCCCAGGAGUGGCCCUGCAUGGGGGGAUGGGGGUCAAAGGCCCAGAGCAGGGCGGGGCCUCCAUCCGGCCGGGUGACCUUUAACGGGACGACAGGCGCCUCUCCCACCAAGCAGAGCGGGUCCUGCUGCCCACCUGAGUGCUGAGUGCUGUGGGUGACUGUCGCUGGUGAAAUGGUCUCCGUCUUGGCGUGGCCCUGUCCCCCAGCCCCUGCUGGCAGCUGCCCUUAGACACAGGUUUCUAGGUCAGCCUCUGUCACCCGUGGUGACAGAGCCAGAGCGCACAGUGCUCGGCCUGCCUUGGGGUGUCCCGGCUGCGGCACAGACCUCAGAGCCGCCUCCCCCGGCCCCGCCGUGCUGCUCGGGGCCGCUUUGCUCUGCCCGCGCAGCAUCCUAGACGUGCAGCAGGGAGGCUGCGGUCUGGGGCUGCGUGUGUCCGGGUGGCGUGGUCACGGGUUCCUGCCGGCCGUCCAGCGCACCCAUGCAGGGCUGGGGCGGGGUGGGUGCUCCUUCCUAAUGCUGCGUUUCUCUCUCCUGCUGCUGCCACCUCUCAGGGCUCGGCCGUUCUCACACUCCUUUAGGUAAGACGGGCGCUGGACGUGCCUGGGGAGGCUUUUCUGCUUCAGGGCAGAGUGGACCCUGCGGCCCAGGGAGGCUGUGCUGGAUGAAGCCAGGCGUGUCAGGGAGCCCACGCCCCAGUGACACCGCAGGGGCCCUGCCGCCUGCGUGCUUCUGCGCGUGCCCCACCAGGUGGAGCUGCUCUCUUCCCGCGGGGAGGAGGGUCCCUUUGGGACCCAGUCAGCAGCCUCCCCCGUUGAUUAAGCUGCUCUUCCAGCCCAAUACCCGGAACCCAGGCCGAGCCGUCACUGGCUUUCAGUAGCCUUCUCUGACCAGGGUCUCGCUGGCUCGCCUGGUGGUCACGGAAGGGUGACUGGCAGCUCUUUGCACCGAAGGUGUUUUGGGGGCUCCAGGCCCAGGGCUUCCUGGCUUCCCCAUUUCAGCACUGCCCUUGGCAGUGCCACACUUCUGGGGCCACGAGAGGGGCCCCUUGGGUCUGGUUUUCCUUGGGUGAGGGCGGCCUGGCAAAGCGUCUCUGGUGGCGAGAGCCAGUAGUGGGGUUUCUGCCGGAGCUGAGCCGCCGAGCGCGGGCGUGUCGCGUGCUGACUCUUCCUUCUCUGCUCUUACCACGCUUCCGAGCAGCAGCUCCUCCAUCCGCCACUCCAUAAGCAUGCCGGCCAUGAGGUAACGUGACCUGCCCCCAGCUCCGGGCGGUGGGAGCCGGGUGGAGGGUGGCUCCUGCCCUGCCCCACGCUCCCCAUGUCCCUGAAUUGGGGCUACCUCCCCUGUCAACCUCCCGGUGGCUAAGGUUGGGCAGGAUCCCCUCCACGGCUGCAGAGCUGGUGGGAGUGAGGCCUGGAGGAACCACUGGGCUCACCUGAGCUCCACCUGGGACUUCCCAGGGCUGUCCAAGGGCUUGGGCCAGGAAGGGGCAGAGAGGCCCCCAGGCGCCAGCUCCCAGGGAGCUCCGGUGUCCCCAGGCCCCGGGUGGAGACUGUUUGAUCUGUGUCUCUGAGCACUUUGACCUGUUCCUCCUGCUCCGGGAUGCAGCCUGGGUCCGCACAGAGCUCCUGUCCUUGCUCAGCAGAAUCUGGUGCAGCUGCCACAUCCAGAGCAUGCCCGAGGGCACAGAGGCCUUGAGCCUCUCCUCACUCCUCCCAGCAUUGCCCUUGGUGGAGUUCCCGGCGUGGCUCAGCGCUAACAAACCCAACUGGCAUCCAUGAGGAUGCAGGUUCCCUGGCCUGGCUCAGUGGGUGAAGGAUCUGGCGUUGCCGUGAGCUGUGGUGUAGGUCACAGACAUGAGUUGGAUCCCGUGUGGCUGUGGCUGUGGUGGAGGCCAGCAGCUGUGGCUCCAAUUUAACCCUUAGCCUGAGAACCUCCGUACACCGUGAGCACAGCCCUAAAAAGAGAAAAAAAAGAAAAGAAUUGCCCUUGGUUUCUCUCUGCCUGGCAUGUGUGGGGGUCUGUGUGAGGGGUCCGUAGGUGGCCCAUGUGAGGUCUGGGUCUCACCGGCUGGUGGCCUGCAGAUCUUGUGUCCUUGCUGUGGGCGGGCAUGGCUGACCUCCGUCCUGACCUGGGGAAGCCUCUUGGAUGACUUUGGCUGGGCUCUCUGCAGAGUGUCCUUUUCUGGGCUUGUCGCAUUUUCGAAGUGAUCUUCUGCAGGGGUCUCUCCAGGGGUGACCCUCACCCUAAGGCCCUUGGGUUUAGGAGGGCAGCACGGCUGUCUGCUUCUCAUGCACGCAUCUCCCUCCUCUCUCUGCAGGAAUUCUGCCACCUUCAAGUCAUUUGAAGACCGAGUUGGGACCAUAAAGUCUAAGGUUGUCGGCGGCAGAGAGAAUGGUGGUGACAACCUGCCCUCCCCGGCCGGGAGUGGUGACAAACCCCUGCCUGAUCGCACGUCCUUCUGAGCCCAGCGGGCUUCGCGUGGCCACAGACAAGCACAGCCUCCUGGCCACAGCUGCAGCUGCGUGAGCGGGGCGGGCAGCCAGGCCUCGGCAGCGCUCAGAGCUGGCUUUGAGGACAGUCGUGCCAUCCAUGUGGGGCAUGGCCGCAGGCUCGCGUGGGGCCGAGGACACGCCACCUGCACUUGCCUCCACUGUGUCAGCAGAGGCGGCGGUCUCCGAGCCAGAGCCCGGCUCCCUCUGGGAACCGUGUGUGCUCAGCGCGUGUUCAAGGGAAGAGCCACAGUGUGAAACACGCCGCGUCUGCUCCGCUCCUUCCUCAGGCGCAGAGGCCGCGCCUCCAGGAAGCCCUGCCUGAUCUGCAGUUUCUUUUCAACAUGCGCAACAAACUGUCCAUUUUCGGAGACCCGCCAGAAGGAAACUGAUUAUCAGCAGCUGCCUAAUUGUUACACUAAUGAUCUAGCUUUAACAAAAGCAAAUUCUUUAUUUUUUAAAUGCAGUGGGUUUUUCAAAAAUUAAAACUAAGCAAAGCAACUUUAGCCUCA